rnacentral:sRNA from 1 species
CCUUUCCCCUGAUUUGAAUCUCACUUCUCUGGGAUGGCAGCACAUACCUUGCCCUGGUGCUUUGACUUAUACCCUAGACAGAGUUGUUUUGUGCUCACUGACUCCUCUUUCGUGUCCCUGUGCAACCUCUUAGAGCUCAUCCUGUCCAACAGUGCUCCGAUUUUAGUUAUAGACUUGCAGCUGGGGAGAUGCCUUAAGGGGUAUUGCUUAUUUGUUUGCGCCAUUAGGAUAUUGCUGAGUCAGACAGUCAUAGUUCCCUCUCAUUUGCUCUGGGACUAGGGUUUCCAGAGGGUUGGGCACAGUUUUCUAUUGGCUUUUUUUUCUCUUUUCCUUAGCCUCUUCGGUGAUCUUUGGUCUGAAGGGCUAUGUGGCUGAGCGGAAGGGUGAGAGGGAGGAGAUGCAGGAUGCCCACGUCAUCCUCAACGACAUCACCGAGGAGUGUAGGCCCCCAUCGUCCCUCAUUACUCGGGUUUCAUAUUUUGCUGUUUUUGAUGGACAUGGAGGAAUUCGAGCCUCAAAAUUUGCCGCACAGAAUUUGCAUCAGAACUUAAUCAGAAAAUUUCCUAAAGGAGAUGUAAUCAGUGUAGAGAAAACCGUGAAGAGAUGCCUUUUGGACACUUUCAAGCAUACUGAUGAAGAGUUCCUUAAACAAGCUUCCAGCCAGAAGCCUGCUUGGAAAGAUGGGUCC